rnacentral:rRNA from 1 species
GAUGAACGCUGGCGGCGUGCCUAAUACAUGCAAGUCGAGCGAACAGACGAGGAGCUUGUUCCUCUGACGUUAGCGGCGGACGGGUGAGUAACACGUGGAUAACCUACCUUUAAGACUGGGAUAACUUCGGGAAACCGGAGCUAAUACCGGAUAAUAUAUUUAACCACAUGGUUCAAUAGUGAAAGACGGAUUUGCUGUCACUUAUAGAUGGAUCCGCGCCGCAUUAGCUAGUUGGUAAGGUAACGGCUUACCAAGGCAACGAUGCGUAGCCGACCUGAGAGGGUGAUCGGCCACACUGGAACUGAGACACGGUCCAGACUCCUACGGGAGGCAGCAGUAGGGAAUCUUCCGCAAUGGGCGAAAGCCUGACGGAGCAACGCCGCGUGAGUGAUGAAGGUCUUCGGAUCGUAAAACUCUGUUAUUAGGGAAGAACAAAUGUGUAAGUAACUAUGCACGCCUUGACGGUACCUAAUCAGAAAGCCACGGCUAACUACGUG